rnacentral:rRNA from 1 species
UACGUAGGGGGCAAGCGUUGUCCGGAAUCAUUGGGCGUAAAGCGCGUGUAGGCGGCCCGAUAAGUCCGCUGUGAAAGUCCAGGGCUCAACCCUGGGAUGCCGGUGGAUACUGUCGGGCUCGAGUCCGGAAGAGGCGAGUGGAAUUCCUGGUGUAGCGGUGAAAUGCGUAGAGAUCAGCAGGAACACCAAUGGCGAAGGCAGCUCGCUGGGACGUGACUGACGCUGAGGAGCGAAAGCGUGGGGAGCGAACAGG